UACGUAGGGUGCGAGCGUUGUCCGGAAUUAUUGGGCGUAAAGAGCUUGUAGGUGGUUUGUCGCGUCUGCUGUGAAAAUCCGAGGCUCAACCUCGGACUUGCAGUGGGUACGGGCAGACUAGAGUGUGGUAGGGGAGACUGGGAAUUCCUGGGUGUAGCGGUGGAAUGCGCAGAUAUCAGGAGGGAACACCGAUGGCGAAGGCAGGUCUCCUGGGCAUUAACUGACGCUGAGGAGCGA
rnacentral:rRNA from 1 species